rnacentral:rRNA from 1 species
AGAGUUUGAUCCUGGCUCAGGAUGAACGCUAGCUACAGGCUUAACACAUGCAAGUCGAGGGGCAGCAUGAUUGAAGCUUGCUUCAAUUGAUGGCGACCGGCGCACGGGUGAGUAACACGUAUCCAACCUGCCGAUAACUCGGGGAUGGCCUUUCGAAAGAAAGAUUAAUACCCGAUAGUAUAGUAUUUCCGCAUGGUUUCACUAUUAAAGAAUUUCGGUUAUCGAUGGGGAUGCGUUCCAUUAGAUAGUAGGCGGGGUAACGGCCCACCUAGUCUUCGAUGGAUAGGGGUUCUGAGAGGAAGGUCCCCCACAUUGGAACUGAGACACGGUCCAAACUCCUACGGGAGGCAGCA